rnacentral:lncRNA from 1 species
AGCCUAAGAACUUGAGUGUGACGGUCUUAUCCCGGGAGGGAUUUCCUGAUACCCUAGGCUUGUAAGGGUGGAAAUACUCUUUUCGGAAAGUGGUGCCCACGAUUCCGUCUUAAUCCUAGAUCUCUUCUUCUAUCAACGCUCGAACGAUUGCAACUUGGAACCUCAUAAGCCAACAGCAAUGUUACAAAUAAGCGUAUUACUUUUGUCGUCGCCGUAUUACUUUUGUAAAUCAAUCUGUCCAAACACCCUCUUAUUUUAAUUAUCUUUGGCAUUUGCAGCCAGUGGUAGAUUUGGUACUGUGCAAGGGUAUAAAGAAGAGCAACAAAACUAAAGCAGCAACGAAGCGAAGUAAUAAUAAGAAGGCGAAAACUGUAUCAGUAUCGCAGCAGCCGUCCGAUGAAAACGAGAACACUAUUACUCCUGCGCCAUUGCAAACGGCAGAAGAAUCGCCCGCAAUUUGCCAAAUGGAUUAUGAGUUUGGAAACCAAGACACGAUAACUCCGAAUAGUCAGUCACCAUCAAUAGUGUUCAUUUAUUGUUCAUUGUUGUCAUUGGUUGAUUUAUUGUUCAUUGUUGUAAUUCACUAGUAAUCCUACGGUUCUUAAAGAGUAUAGAUUAAGUUGGAGCAUUGGUGCUAUUGCUGUAUUAUUUCUUUUCCCUAUCCCUGCACUCCGCAGUCUGUAUUAAGCUUUUGGAUUUUCUGUAUUUCAAUUCGAAUUCACGUAUUCAGAACAGAAUUCUCCUGAGUUGAAUGGACGUAAGACCACAAAUUUGAG